ACGUCACGAAUUUGUUAAAAACACGAACACUCUUAAGGUGGUCGCGACUGUGACAACACGCGACUCUCUGCGCAUUUUUUAAGGAUUGUGAGUGCCAAUUUUGUACAACGAUUUUGACUUGUUUCGUAAUGAUGAAUCUUGCAUUCAAUUUUGGAACUGAAGGCCCAUCUCAUACAUUGCGGAACAUACUUCUGACAAUUACAAACGGAAUAUGGGGAAUCUGGUAGAACUCUAUGUAUUAAUCGCUGAAGAAGGUCUGAAGUGGACCGAAACGUACGACUUAUGUAAGAAGAUGUAAUUUAAGUUAUAGAAUACAUCUCUACUUGAAUCUUUAAC